rnacentral:rRNA from 1 species
AUUGAACGCUGGCGGCAGGCCUAACACAUGCAAGUCGAGCGGAGCGGCGGACGGGUGAGUAGUGCCUAGGAAUCUGCCUGGUCGUGGGGGAGAACGUCGGGUAACGGGCGCUAAUACCGCAUACUAUCAGAUGAGCGUAGGGCGGAUUAGUCGGUUGGUGGGGUAAAGGCCUACCAAGGCGACGAUCCGGAACUGGUCUGAGAGGAUGAUCAGGGACACUGGAACUGUGACACGGUCCAGACGCCUACGGGAGGGAGCAGUGGGGAAUAUUGGACAAUUGGCGAAAGCCUGAUCCAGCCAUGCCGCGUGUGUGAAGAAGGUGUUCGGAUUGUAAAGGACGUUAAGUUGGGAGGCGUUACCAACAGAAUAAGCACCGGCUAACUUCGUGCCAGCCGCCGCGGUAAUUC